GUGACCAGACGUCCCGCUUUUGGCGGGACAGUCCCGCUUUUGAGCAAUUUGUCCCGCGUCCCGCGGCGUUUCAAAAAAGUCCCGAUUUUUCUUGAGCCCCAGCUGAUGGCUAGAAGAAAAAAAAACUGUUUAAACUCUUUCCCGGGGCUUCAAAGGGCCGCCCUACAGGCAAUCAGUGUAAAGCAGUUUUUUUUCCCCCUAGCUAAGCUUCAGAAACGAAACCGAAACCAGGGUCUUUGGUGCAGCGUGACAAAAUGAGGCAGAGAGAGAUUUAUUUUUAUUUUUAUUUUUCCUCCCCAAAAAAGAGAUUAUUUCACAGCAUAGUUAGAAGAGUAGCAGGGAUGCUCAGCAGCAGGAUGCUGUAAACAUCAGUCGUGUUGGAUAUUAGUAGGUCUUUGAAAGAAACAUUCUUCAGAGGGAAAGGACACAGUGAAAUCUAAUACUCUCAUUUAUGACUGUCGAUGGAACACUCAAAACAUUAUUAAGCUGUUCAGUAUAAACUGUGGGAGGUGUUGGUUUUCUGUGGACUUAAUUCCACCGAUUUGCUUGUUCUCCAGCAUUCCAUUAUUGAGUAAUUUGGAGAUAAUGUGUCAUAUUGGGAAUCAAUGCUCUGUUUUCAUGUACUAAUAGCAUUGUAGCAAUUGUCCAGGAAGCAGGGGGGGGGAAAUACUUUGACUACUGACAAUAAACAUUUUCAUAAAUAGUGGGCUGUGGCCAUCUACCAUUUUAUUUUCUAAGAAGGUCUGUGGGGUCUAUAAACUUUGUGGAGGUGAAGCUGAUGUGCUGGAAGUUUGUUUUCCAGUACGCCAUCUUCCUUUUAAAUCCUGUAUGUGUUAGGAUACCUGCUUCCAGGGAUAUUGCCACUAGGCACUUUAUUAUAACUUUGGAAUCAGAUGUAACUUAUUUCCAGCAUAUUCACUUAAGUGGGCAAGCCUCUUUUUUAAUUAAACUCAGUUCAUUCACCCCUCUUCGCUUCUUUUACCAUGCUGAGGAGCUGGUUCCAAACAGUCAUAACCUCCCUUGUAUCAGUUGAAAAAUGACACAAGUUGAGUACUGUGCAUAUACAGCACAUGUCUCACUAUUGCAUGAAAGGUAGCUCUUUCUUUUACUGUGCUUACAAACAAGCCUAGGUAUUUCUGCUCUAUGGGUCCCCUCUUUCCUUCCUUUAAAAAAAAAACAACUAUCUAAUAUCUUCCAGUAAUGUCUAUAAAAUGCUAACUGCAAAGAUCUGCACAAGUAUGUUAUCCAAGUUGAUAUUUUGGACCAUGUAGCAAAAAGAGCAAAUAAUUAUUAAUUGCAUUUUAUUACGUUGAGCCAAAGAAAACCAUUACUUCUCUUUGAAAAUAUGGUUCAAAGAGAAGUCAACAAUAAAAUUAUAUCUCAUA